AGAUUCUAGCCAGCAACUUCGGACAUUGUUUGGGUUUUGCUGUCCCUUCAGCCAAUGUGGCUUCUACAGAGAAGUGGAACCAUUAUGAAAUGUAGGAUAUUUUUGCACGUGACCGUCCCAAACUGAAGUCAUCUUAAGACAAAGGAGGCAUCUGAAGCAGUACGUGAGCGUUGACCAAAGAUGUGAGGUACCCAUUCAUCACGGAAAAACAAGAUACAGUAAUUCCCUAUCAAACACCAAGUGAGAGACUGUAUUUUCAGGAGAGUUGAAAGCAACACACAUAUGGCAGAAAGUCCUACUUCCAUGAGCUUAUUUCUCAACUGUUGCACCGAAACCAGAGGCGGUUUUGAGAUUAAGAUCCAAUGCUCUCCAGCUAACCUUAAUCUGCCCAUCACUCAAUUCUGGGUCAAAGCGCCAUGGUGACACAGGCAGCGUGCCUUUGAACGUGCGGCGAGCCAGAUGCACCAUGAAUUUAAAACGAGCAACAAAUAUCCUCAUGCAGACACAAAUAAUAUGAUGUGGAUACAAGAGGUCAAAAAGGGAACUGGGUCAUUUUCCGUGUUCUUUGGGGAAUGUCGCUUUCUAUACAGAAGGAAAUCACAACGUACUCUUGCCUGGAGGAAAUCGCAACCCAUUCUUGCCUGGAGAAUCCCAGGGACGGAGGAGCCU